GGAGGUGGCGAGCGUUACUCGGUAUGACUGGGUGUAAAGGGGUCCGUAGGGCGGGACGCGUAAGUGAAAGGUGAAAUCUUUCGGCUCAACCGGAAAAUUGCCUUUCAAACUGCGUGACUAGAGGAUGGAAGAGGAGAGUGGAACUGUCGGUGUAAAGGUGAAAUUUGUGGAUAUCGACAGGAACGCCCGUGGGGAAGCCGACUCUCUGGUCCAUACCUGACGCUGAGGGACGAAAGCUAGGGGAGCGAACAGGAUUAGAUACCCUGGUAGUCCUAGCUGUAAACGAUGGGCACUAGGUGUUUGCUCUUUUGAGUAGGUGCCGAAGUUAACACAUUAAGUGCCCCACCUGGGGACUACGGCCGCAAGGCUA
rnacentral:rRNA from 1 species